UACGUAGGGGGCUAGCGUUGUCCGGAAUCAUUGGGCGUAAAGCGCGUGUAGGCGGCCCGGUAAGUCCGCUGUGAAAGUCGGGGCUCAACCCUCGAAUGCCGGUGGAUACUGUCGGGCUAGAGUACGGAAGAGGCGAGUGGAAUUCCUGGUGUAGCGGUGAAAUGCGCAGAUAUCAGGAGGAACACCAAUUGCGAAGGCAGCUCGCUGGGACGUCACUGACGCUGAGACGCGAAAGCGUGGGGAGCAAACAGG
rnacentral:rRNA from 1 species